rnacentral:rRNA from 1 species
CCUACGGGAGGCUGCAGUGAGGAAUAUUGGUCAAUGGACGAGAGUCUGAACCAGCCAAGUAGCGUGAAGGAUGACUGCCCUAUGGGUUGUAAACUUCUUUUAUAAAGGAAUAAAACGAGGCACGUGUGCCUUUUUGCAUGUACUUUAUGAAUAAGGAUCGGCUAACUCCGUGCCCGCAGCCGCGGUAAUACGGGGGAUCCGAGCGUUAUCCGGAUUGAUUGGGUUUAAAGGGUGCGUAGAUGGGUUGUUAAGUCAGUUGUGAAAGUUUGCGGCUCAACCGUAAAAUUGCAAUUGAUACUGGCAGUCUUGAGUACAGUUGAGGUAGGCGGAAUUCGUGGUGUAGCGGUGAAAUGCUUAGAUAUCACGAAGAACCCCGAGUGCGAAGGCAGCUUACUAAACUGUGACUGACAUUGAUGCUCGAAAGUGUGGGUAUCAAACAGGAUUAGAUACCCCGGUAGUC